rnacentral:rRNA from 1 species
CUACGGGGGGCUCCAGUAAGGAAUAUUGGGCAAUGGACGCAAGUCUGACCCAGCCAUGCCGCGUGCAGGAUGACAGCCCUACGGGUUGUAAACUGCUUUUAUACGGGAAAAAUUCCCUGGUCGUGCACCGGGGUUGAUGGUACCGUAAGAAUAAGCAUCGGCUAACGCCGUGCCAGCAGCCGCGGUAAUACGGAGGAUGCAAGCGUUAUCCGGAUUCAUUGGGUUUAAAGGGUGCGCAGGCGGAAUGAUAAGUCAGUGGUGAAAUCCUACGGCUCAACUGUAGAACUGCCAUUGAUACUGUUGUUCUUGAGUACAUUUGAAGUGGGCGGAAUGUGUCAUGUAGCGGUGAAAUGCUUAGAGAUGACACAGAACACCGAUUGCGAAGGCAGCUCACUAAACUGUAACUGACGCUGAGGCACGAAAGCGUGGGGAUCAAACAGGAUUAGAUACCCUCGUAGUC